rnacentral:rRNA from 1 species
UAGAGAGAGACAUGCGCGCAUAUCAAUAAGCGGAGGAAAAGAAACUAACUAGGAUUCCCUCAGUAACGGCGAGUGAAGCGGGAAGAGCUCAAAUUUGAAAUCUUCAAGGUUCUACCUUGACGAAUUGUAGUUUAAAGAAGUGUUUUCUGUUGGAGUUUUGGUAAAAGUUCUUUGGAAUAGGACAUCAUAGAGGGUGAGAAUCCCGUAUUUGACCAUUAUUUCCAGCUUUGUGAUACACUUUCAAAGAGUCGGAUUGUUUGGGAACUGCAGUCCAAAAUGGGUGGUAAAUUUCAUCUAAAGCUAAAUACUGGCGAGAGACCGAUAGCGAACAAGUACCGUGAGGGAAAGAUGAAAGAACUUUGAAAAGAGAGUUAAACAGUACGUGAAAUUGUCAAAAGGGAAGCGUUUGACACCAGUGUUGUUUUCUCGAAAAUCAAUUAAAAAAGGCAGGAUUUUGUGUUGUAUUGACUUUAUCAGCUUUCUGCACUCUUUUCUUGUCUUUUUUAAUGCACUUUUCGUUUAACAAGUCAACAUCAAUUUCUUUUGUUGUAAAAGGGUCAUUGGAAGGUGGCUUUCUUUUCGGAGAAAGUGUUUAUAGCCUUUGGCCUCUGCAAUCGGAGAGAUUGAGGUCUGCAGCGUAGAUCCUUCGGGGUUAGAUACAUUUGUGCUAAGUUAUAGCCUUUCAUAGACAACUUGUUGACUAUGAUCAGUCAUGUAGCUUACUCGCUUAUGCUAUUUUACCUACGCUUAGGAUGUUGAUGUGAUACUGCGAGCA